rnacentral:rRNA from 1 species
CGCUGGCGGCAGGCCUAACACAUGCAAGUCGAGCGGUAGAGAGAAGCUUGCUUCUCUUGAGAGCGGCGGACGGGUGAGUAAUGCCUAGGAAUCUGCCUGGUAGUGGGGGAUAACGUUCGGAAACGGACGCUAAUACCGCAUACGUCCUACGGGAGAAAGCAGGGGACCUUCGGGCCUUGCGCUAUCAGAUGAGCCUAGGUCGGAUUAGCUAGUUGGUGAGGUAAUGGCUCACCAAGGCGACGAUCCGUAACUGGUCUGAGAGGAUGAUCAGUCACACUGGAACUGAGACACGGUCCUGACUCCUACGGGAGGCAGCAGUGGGGAAUAUUGGACAAUGGGCGAAAGCCUGAUCCAGCCAUGCCGCGUGUGUGAAGAAGGUCUUCGGAUUGUAAAGCACUUUAAGUUGGGAGGAAGGGUUGUAGAUUAAUACUCUGCAAUUUUGACGUUACCGACAGAAUAAGCACCGGCUAACUCUGUGCCAGCAGCCGCGGUAAUACAGAGGGUGCAAGCGUUAAUCGGAAUUACUGGGCGUAAAGCGCGCGUAGGUGGUUUGUUAAGUUGGAUGUGAAAUCCCCGGGCUCAACCUGGGAACUGCAUUCAAAACUGACUGACUAGAGUAUGGUAGAGGGUGGUGGAAUUUCCUGUGUAGCGGUGAAAUGCGUAGAUAUAGGAAGGAACACCAGUGGCGAAGGCGACCACCUGGACUAAUACUGACACUGAGGUGCGAAAGCGUGGGGAGCAAACAGGAUUAGAUACCCUGGUAGUCC